UAUGUCUUCUCCGCCAAAAUCAUCAACGCCUAAUUCCUCUGCGACGAUCCAGGUAAGCUUCCUUUCCUUCCUUUCCUCUUCUUUGCUUCCUCUGUGAUGAGUCUCUCUUUUUAGGCCGUUUGCGAGAAUUCAUCGCGAGUGGAGAAGUCAGUUCCGAAGUUUGCACUGCUGACGAUGUUCCUCCGCAAUUUGUGUUCUGCCGCCGCCGCCGCCGUUCCUCCAUUCCUCUGCUUCGUGCCUUUGUCGCCGUCCCUCACUCUUCCAAAGGUCUCAUUUAUGUUCCGUUUAUGUUAGGGAUUGUAUUUUCCGUUUCGGUUUUCAGCCAUGUGUAAUAUAAAAGUGUUAGGAUUCUUGAUGAAUAAUAACUUAAUGAAUAAUAAACUAAACUAGGUUGAUGAAUGUAAACUGUAAUUGCAUUAGUUUAGAAAUACAUUUGUAAUGUGUUGUUGCAUUGUAUCAUUGAAGACUAUUUUUGUAGACUUUAUCCUAUUUGUCAAAAUGAUUAGAUCUAGCUUUUCAAUGUUGAUGGCUUGUUUAUUUCUUUCUUUUCUUGUUUGUGUAUGAAGAUAUGAAGGUGGCCACUAUGCUUGUGGAUCCUGCUGGAUUGUCAAGCUUACUGCCUCUGCCUUGAAAUUAUGGUGCUUCAAAGGGGCUAAUUUGAAAAGCUCUUACUGAACCUGGGGUUAAGCAUGCGUUGAUUGCAAUACAAGUGCUUCAGCAGGUGCAAGCAUUUGAAAUUGAAUUAAAAGGG